rnacentral:rRNA from 1 species
GAUGAACGCUGGCGGCGUGCUUAACACAUGCAAGUCGAACGGAAAGGCCCAAGCUUGCUUGGGUACUCGAGUGGCGAACGGGUGAGUAACACGUGGGUGAUCUGCCCUGCACUUCGGGAUAAGCCUGGGAAACUGGGUCUAAUACCGGAUAGGACGAUGGUUUGGAUGCCAUUGUGGAAAGUUUUUUCGGUGUGGGAUGAGCUCGCGGCCUAUCAGCUUGUUGGUGGGGUAAUGGCCUACCAAGGCGUCGACGGGUAGCCGGCCUGAGAGGGUGUACGGCGACAUUGGGACUGAGAUACGGCCCAGACUCCUACGGGAGGCAGCAGUGGGGAAUAUUGCGCAAUGGGCGCAAGCCUGAUGCAGCGACGCCGCGUGGGGGAUGACGGCCUUCGGGUUGUAAACUCCUUUCGCUAGGGACGAAGCGUUUUUGUGACGGUACCUGGAGAAGAAGCACCGGCUAACUACGUG